AACUUGACACAUUUGUUUUCAGCUGAAAGGCACUGAAAUACCAUUCCUGCUGUAUUUCCUGUGUUUGUUUUUUUUAUUGUAUGACAGUUGAUUCAGUAAUUCCCCAGUGGUCUUUUUCGUUUUUUUUUUUGCUCAUUAGAUUAUCUUUACACUUAAUAAAAAAAACUCUGGGGCCAUGCUGUGUAUUAAUAUCUACACUUCUUACUUGAGUUUAGCGAAGACAAUGACAUCGCUGAAGAGGAACAGGUGCCUGUCCUUGGUCUUUGAGCCCUCGGUGACCUGAACACACUCGUCCAGCAGCAGCUCUCCGUUCUCACUGGUGAGGCCGAGGACGAACGGACUCUGCUCCACGGAGACCCAGCAGGAAGCCUCCUCCCUGAGCGGGAGGACAACACAGAAAGAGGUGUGAAAGUGGAAACACGAGCAAUGAUACUGUGCAAGAACUCAAAAGCCAGAUGCUGUUGCUGUUGUGCUUUUAAUGGCUGAAUGACAGCAGCAAAUUCAUGAAGAGCAACCUGAAGAAACCCAGCGUUUGUUUGGUAAAACAAACAUUAUCUGAUCCCACUGAGAGCGCGGAAUCACAUUUUAAUUUGAAGAAAAAUGUCAGAGCUGUCAUCAGCUGCCCUAAUGGAUCAAUAUCAAGUCAAUAACCCGGUAUGAUUUCAUUUUAGGCAUCACAGAUGAGCACACGAGUAUCGACUAACUUAAGCUUGUUUAUUUGUUCAGCUGAAGUGAAUAGGGAAGAAGUUCUUCCUGGAAUUAAGUUUUGAACUGUGACUUUAAACAGUGGCUUUAGCUGCAGUUCUAGGUUUUUGUUGGGGGGAUUACUUCUCAUCUCACUUGAUAUUUAAUAAUAAUCAUAAAAUAAUCUCUAAUAAAACAACUGACAAUCAAGGUGUACACAAGAAGUAAGAGUUGUUUGUUCUAAAUCAUAAUGAAACCAAUUUUGGUCAUCGCUCUUCCCACUGACUCUGAGUUCAGGGGCAGAAAUUCAAAUCAUUGCAGCCGAGGUACUUUCCCUGUUACCCUUCUGGCCUACUAAAGAUGACACAUAAAAUACUGGCAAAUAAAACAGUGGGAGAACUAUAACCUCCGCAACAGGUGAUUAUGUGUGAACGCAAACAACAGAACAACAGAAAACAAUAAUUAAAGUAGUUAUGAGAGCUCAUAAAGGCGAACCACAGCUACCUAACUGCUGUUACACGUUAAAGUAAUGGUUCAACAUAUUGGAAAAUACACUCAUUCACUUUAUUGUCAAAUGUUAGAUGAGAAGAUCAAUAGCUUUCCACUCGUGUAUUUUUCCAUCAGCAACAAGCUAGAUGGUUAACGUUACCUUACCAGCUAGCCCCGCUCUGUUCAGAGCAUUGACAGUCAAUAUAUGUUAAUGGUUUGUGUGUCUGGGACAUAACCAACUGGUUGUUUUUACACUUUGGAAAGAUCUUAUUUAACUCUCUGCAAGAAAACAAAUAUGAAAAGUGUAUAUCUAAAAAUAUUACUUAAUUAGAACUUUUCCUUGAAUGUAGAAUGAUGUUAUAAUGACUAUAAUGUAAAUUAUUAAUGAACACUGUGUUGUAAACGGUCUCAAAGAGGUUUUCACUGCACUAAGUUACAUCAUUCAUAUGAAAGUACCAAUACUUUGUUACAGAUAUCAGAUAUCUGUACUUUCUACUUUCUCACAGGCUCGUUACUUUAGAUUUAAUGUAUCUGAGGGUAAUUAUUGAUUAUUAGUUUUACUUUCCAAACAUCAGGACAGACGUAACAUGACGACGACAACAUAAAAGGGACGUAAAAGAUGAAACAGACGAGAGAGGCAGACUCAACCCUGUUUGAAGUUUCAGACUGAAAGAACCAGAAGAAGAGAAGUAAAGAACCCGCCCACUGGAGACUCUGGUGGUCGCUGUGUGACGACUGCAACAACAACUUUGAAAGGUUGAAGGGUUAAACGUCAGAUAUUCAAGAGGAGGUGAUGAAGAAUCUGGCCAGACAAAUGACAGACUGUAGGUGUGUAAUGACAUUAUAGAGCUUUAUUAGACUUUUGGAGAAAGGAUUUACCUUUAUAUUUAUUUAUUCAUUAUAAAUAAAUUCAUGAUCAGACCACUAAACCAUUGCUUAAGCAUAUAAAUAUUUCUCUCUCUCUCUCUAUAUAUAUAUAUAUAUAUAUAUAGAAAGGUGCUGAGAUCAUGAGUCUGUGUUUCCUCCACUGCUGGCUAUACAUAAUUUAUUUAGUUAUUCUGACUUUUCUGCUGUUUUAUUAUUUAUUUUAUUAUUAUUACUUGGAGAUGGAGAUUUAAAACUUUCUCGCCACUGCUCGGAAAUCCGUUCUGAUGCCAAAAUGAAUGUUUUACCUUUUUAUUUAUUGAUUGCCCCACAAUUACUCAAUAGUAGUAUAAUGAAUUUAAUCAGCCAGUAAAAAUACAGAUUAAGUGGUUUGAUUGUAGGUCAAUUUAAGUCUCCAGACCUCCAGAGGAACUGACCUCUGUUCUCAUCCUGAAUGAAAAAACACAGAAAACUCAUUGAAGGCAACUUUCUAUAGUGACUGAGACUGCAUAUGAUCACAAGGGGCCAUAAAGUAAAAUAUAUUGAUUUAAAUAUGGUCUAGUUUCCAAAACAACAUUGGGCUACUGUUUCAAAAUGAAAGCAUACAUUAUUAAGGGUCACUGGCAGAGCGUUACUUACUUAUGUUUUGAAUUUAUGUAAAUCAGCAGGUGAGGAGAGGUAACAGCUGACUGUCCAUUCACUUCCCUGUCGUUUCCUGUCUGUCUGUAGAUUUUCUACGGCGGGGCAAUUGUAGCCCGGGAAAAGCAAGCAGGCCUGACACCCAUUAGUUGUUUCAUUGGACAUUUCACAGUAUUGUGCACACUGUCUGGCAUAAGUAUGACCCAGUUAGUGUUUGACUAAUGUGUUUAAUAUAACUGACAAAAGUGCUACUAAAUUUACAGCACAGUAACCUCUGAAGGGGUUCCCAACAAGGAGGUAGGACUUCCCGUGAGGUAUAGAGCUAAAUAUAAAGGUAAAAUGUAAAAUUGUGCUGCUGCAACAGCUGAACAUGUGUGUGUGAAUGUAGCCCUGUGCCAUACUGCUUUCAUGUAUAGUUUGAUACUGAAUGUAGAUAUAGGAUCUGUUAUCGUUGUGUAAUACUGAGGGUAACAGGUAAGUAAAUCUCCUUUAUCUAACGACCAAAUACAGUCUGAAAAGGUCAACUUUCCCAUAGUAGAGGAACUGAAAAAGAAGACGGCUCAAUCACAACCAAACAGACUGGCCCUCAGAACCCAGAGUAGGUGUGAGUGAGGUUUAAAGAGUUUGAGCUAGUUGCCGUUUCAAAACCCCACUCUGUAAAUCCCCCACAGGGACAUCUGUGUCUGUGGCCGGCACACAGCAGGCUGAUAUCGCAACACUGUUCAACACGUGGUCGCAUCAUAGUGGAAAUAGUUUUCUCUUUCUUUAUUCUGUACAACGACUGCUCCUCUGUGAUGAGAUGAUUCAAGUUUGUGUUUAUAUGUGCUGCCACCUGUAGGUUGGAGGCUGCAGUAAAUAGGAGAUAAGAACCUGAAGGUUUUACAUUAAAAUGUUAUUUGAUAUAAUCUAAUUUGUUAAUAAGUAGUAAAAGUAGUGACUUCAUGAAUAUGUAACCCUGAAUUGUUGAUGGAGAGCAUUUCUUCUGUCUCUCUAAAAUGUGUCCUUUCUUUGAAUCUGGGCUGCAACUAAUGAUUAUUUUCAUUCUUAAUUAUUCUGUUAAUUAUUUCCGCAAUUCCUGGAUUAAUUGUUAGGUAAAUAAAAUGUCAGGAAAUAGUGAAAAGUGGCCGUUACGAUCUCUUUAAGCCUGAGGUGACGUCUUCAAAUGUCUUGUUUUCUCCAGCAAAACAGUUCAAAGAUGUUCAACUUACUAUAACUUAACACACAGAAAGACAACCGAUGAUCACAGUUUAGAAGCUGCAACCAGUCGUUGAUGGUUACCUAAAUAAUAAACUGAUUGUGUUAAUACCCCUAACCCUGUGUACUCCUAACCCUGUGUAUCCCUAAUCCUGUGUACCCCUAACCCUGUGUACCCCUAACCCUGUGUAUCCCUAACCCUGUGUACCCCUAACCUUGUAUACCUCUAACCCUGUGUAUCCCUAACAUUUAAUGUUUGUGAACCUUAUAUCUGAUCAAAGAAUAAGUAAACAAGCACCCAAUGCAACUUUCAGUACUUGUCAAUUGUUGUUUUAAGUGAACAUAUAGUUGUGAAAGAUUUAAACAAUGCCCGACCGUCAUUGUAUAUAUCAUAUUAUAUUUUUAUGUUCCUUAUAUUGUACUUUUCAUUCCACCUGAUCUUCGUAACUUACUGUCAAAUACUUCACCACAUCGGGACAAAAAGAAACACAAAAUUCAUCAUAACAGACAAAAAAACCCACUGUAAGCACCUGUUUUCUUAUUUUGACAUUUACUACGUGCGUCAACACCUACUGCGGGUUAAAGCUGUCAGGUAAUCAGGUUCACAGGUUAGCAGCAGUUGUGGUGACAGCUGCAUACACAAGGUGAAACAACAUGCAGCCACGAGGGUAAAUUGUUGUUUAUGUUACAUCACUGACAUUGCGUCAUCUCGGGGACACUUUGACCUUUCUGAUGUUUCCUUCCAAAGCUCAAAAAUCUGGUUUCACUUGAGACUUUUUUUCAAAAUAAUUGAAUGCUCUUUAUAAUCUUAUUUCAUGUUUCCUCCCUCUCUCUUCUGUUUUGCUGCCUUCACUUCUUGUCUUCAUCCCUCGUGUCACGUGUUUGUUUGUGUUGACUGCAGUGUUGUUUUAUGGAAAUUAAUCGGUUCUGUUCUAAUAAAGUUAUCGAAGUUAGUUAUUGUUAGGCACUGGCCUCACGUCAGAUCGAUCAAUAAACUAAUCCCUGACAAAAAUCUGACAUAUAGGCGGCAGUCCAAAUUGCUUCAGGAAAUAAGAUGUGAGUGGGGAAAAAAAACACUUUUCCACCCUCACAACUACUGAUGAGAUACCCAAACAAUUCCCAAUAAACUGCUCAGUCGUCAACAGCAGACAAUUGGAAAAUAUGGACACUCUCUGAUAGGACUGUAUGAAUAAGGAAUUACAGAAAAUUGACGUAUGUUCACAAAAUGGAUGGAAAAAAGGGUUUAAAACAAAGGAUGUACACACCUGAUUGGAGACCAUGUCCCCAACGCCUUCCCAAAGACCAGUGAUGGAGCAGAGCGCCGCCUAUGAGCCAAGUGUCUGAGGUGCUGUAAGAAAACAGAAGUGAAAACAAUAUAUAUUUAUAACCCCUUUCAUUUAUUUAUUGAUUGUUCAACGUGUGUCAUUUUAUGUUUUAAACCACGCAACAUACCACGCUGUCAUUUUCACACUUGCUUUCAUACUUUGUAUUAGUUGUAAAUUAGCAGCUGUGAUGUGUGUGGAGCAACUACAGCAUCCCAAAACCUGUCAGACUCUGAUUAUGUAGCAUCUGUUUGUCAAACAUCUGUCAACACUAUACAAUACACUGCCCAGCACUACUAGUACUGUACAGUUCACAUACAUAUUUAGAUAUACAUAUAUAGAUUUUUUUGUUAACGAUAUAAAUAUAUUGUUCUGUGCAAUUAUUUAUUUUUACACCAUGCCACUACCUCCAGCUGUAACCUGUGCAACCUUUCAUAUCAAUCACAUCUGUAGUAGUUAUUGACUCUUAUUCUUAUUUUUUUUAUCAUAUCUUGUUUAUUAUUUUUUAGUUAAUGUGUACUUUUCUAAUCUGUUGUAUCUGGAGCUGCUGUAUCAAGUGAAUUUCUCCAGUGUGGCAUUAAUAAUCUUAUCUUAUGAUACUUUUAAAGGUGUAUAAUUUCACAGUACACAUAAGGCUCCAUGAAGCCUCACACUGACACCAAUCUAACGCAGCUGGUUUUUCCAGACCACAAACAUUGUUUGAAGACUCGAAUUAGGACAUAAUGGGAAAAAAAUAAUGAAGGACUUCUAUUACUAUUAUUAUUAUUGUGUAUGCACAGAACUGCAUUCUUAUUGUUUUGGUCCUCAGAUCCUUACAACCCAGGUUUACGCUAUCAAUGAAGGGCCUCUUUACCUCCAGCACGGUGCACGGUCUUUUUAAAGACCCUUUGUGUGUUGUUUGUCUAAGUAAUGGGAGCAGCAAAUGAAGAGGGGUUUCAAUCAGGGGGGAACCAACAACAACAGUGCAGAUGGUUUACUGUGAUGUUCCCAUCAGACUCACUCUAACAAAGACACAAUUAACAGUGUGACUGAGGCCUGUUUGAGUUAUUUUUGAACAGCAAAGAUGAGUAAAUAUUCAAAAAUAGAAGGAACCACCAGUGGAGCUAAAUAUGAGUUAAAAUACGAUUAAAACCCUUCCUUAAAAUACCAAAACCCUCAGACUGAAAUUAGUCACUACAGCGUCUUCAAAAGCAAAAUUCCCCCUUUAAAAAUAGUUCGUAGAGGAGGCACCCUGAGCAUCUGGACAUAGUUUGAUUGCAGAGGGAAACUAAAGACGCUGUCGGUGGUGGAUGUGCACUACAGCCAUAACAGAUAAUGAGGUUUUAGAAGUCAGAAAAAAUAGAUCCCGGCGUCGGCUCGCUUCAUUUACAGAAACAGAUUGCCUGUGAGGACAGACGGGACACCAUCACGGGAAAGAUCUUGCUGAAGCCACUCGCCCGUAACAGCAACAUACUGUCCAACCAGCCUGAGAUUAUGAAUGCCUCAAUGUGCAUCUGCUCUUGAUCACUUAUCUAUGAACUCGCCUCAUCUAUUAGUGAUUGACAGCAGAUUACGUGUUGCCUAGCAGCAACAGCAAGGUCUUCAAACUGCAAAAUAUUUUUAAAAAAAGCUUUUCUUCGAUCAGACCUUUAGAUAGAGCCGUAUAUCAAAUAGAAAUUUAAUUAAGGCUUACAUCCACUCUGAAAGUAGUGUGAAAAUGGUUGAGAGCUCUGUUCUAGGUCUGUCCUUGGUUAUUUGAAGGUUUAUAUGUGAGAGCACAAAAUAGUCGUAUGGACCCACUUGAUGUUUCUGGGUUCGAACAGAUUCUAAUUUGACAACAAUAUCAUAUUUAAUGUGUGUUUAAUUACAGGUUUGUUGCCUUUUGUUAUUUAUACCAAAGCUCUUUCUUGCAAGGUGAAUAAAUAAAUUAGUUUUGAUAAGAAUUUCUUAAUUAAGACUUCUGAUCAUAUGAUAGCAGCCAAACGUUUGAUCAUUCAGCAGGUAAAAGUUAAGUCAUACAACAUGUACAAUAAAACACAUUAAAACAUAUUUUUUUCCAGCUUUUUGCAGCUGAAGAUAAGACAGGGAGGAGAAAGAGAGAAAGAGAGAGGACAACAUGCAGCAAAAGACCACAGAAAUCAAACCAAGUCCACUACGGUACAUGGGACGCUAUACGUUUAGCAGGUUCCCCAUCUGAGUUUAUUGUGUAGCUUGCCAACAUUUGAUAAUUAACACUCAACACAAAGCACAGCCGAGGCCGAUGGGAAUGUCCUGAGUUUGGAAGGUAGUUCAUAAACAAAAGUAUUGUUAGUAAGUUAAAAGUUUGACCUGAUGAUGGUGAUACAUGAAAAGUCACGUGAGUUAUAACAGUUCAUCCUGAGUGGGACAUGAAUGUGCCAAAAUAUAUGGAAAUCCAUCUAAUAAUUGUUUAGAUAUUUCAGUCUGGGCUGCACAGCUCGCACUGGCUGAACCCAGCUUUUUCUUUUAUCACUGCUAACCUUUAUUAAUGUUCCCAGCAGGAACAGUCCUACAUACACACAUUAACUGUUUUGUCAAUUUGGGUGAGAGACAACAAACAGAUUCUCCGUCUUGUUGUGGCUGCUCUCGUGCUCUAAUUGCUGGACAAACUGAGAAACUGGGCUCAGCAGAAUCGAACACAAAGAGAAAAACAGCGAAACAAAACAAACAAAAGCAGGAACACUACACAAAGCAUCUCAUUCUGGCCCCUGUCUCUGCAGUCGCUUCCACGCUGGCACACAAAGUCUACUGACUCGUGAUGGUCCAGGACCGGGACACAAAGGACCAGGUUGAUCUAUCAGUCCAGGAUACAGGUGCUUCACUGUCAAUUACAGAAUGGGUGUGUAUAUUCAGUACCAGUACGCUGUUGAUAUAAAGGUCAGUUUAUUCUGUCAUGUAGUUUUCUCUGUCCUGUGUGACAACAAAGUUUAAAGCAGCAACAAGAAACUUUCAUUUUGUGUUGAUUGUGGCGCCCCCUGUGGACAGAAACGGUAGUGUUUCCACUGUAUGUCAUGUGGAGGUAUCAGUAUUAAACUGAGACUGUUUCAUAACCAGUCAAAAUCUCUUUUUUUAGUGGUUUUCACAGAAUGAAUGUGUAAGUAUGUUCACUAUCUUCCAUGUUUGAUAUACUGAUACUGAAUUUCAUUCACUGUAUCCACCAACUCUUGAGGGAAAAUAUCAGACUCUUGAUAAAUGUUUCAUUAUAGCCAUCAGCUAGUUGCUUAUUGUCUGCAGAGACUCUCUCUCUGUACAUCUGAUGGGACUGCAGCGUCGGGUGAUAAUUCUCUGUGGGACGUCACUACGAGCAACAGCUUUCACAUUACACAGUGAUUUCAGCUAUUGUUACUGAAAAUAUUGAUGGUAGCAGCUUUAAUGCAGCGGGAUGUGCAUUAAAACCUCAUUAACACUUGACAAAAAACAUUAGUUGAUUUUUAAAAGCCUAAUUACCAAACAAGUCUUCAUAACUAGUGAAUAGGUUAUUUGUCAAUGCCUGGUUUCCACAAUAACCCAGUGGGCACCAAUUAACUGGGUGAUUGUUUGUCAGAACAAAACUGCCAAUAUAACCAUUAAGAAAAGGGAUACACAUGACAGUUUUCUGCCCUGCUAUCCGUCUGGUUAAUGUUGGGUUAGGUUAGACUGAAACUACUUGAUGGGAGACGUGGUUUCCGUCCUCACUCACUUCCAGGUCCAUAAUUAUAAAUUCAGGCAUGUGUUUCCUGUAUCAGAGCUAACUGGCUCCAAGACAUUUAGAGGUCACAGUUCACCAGCAUCACUCUUGCAAAGUGUUCAAAUUUUUUUUAUUAUUAUUACCCAUAUCAUAACAUAAGUGGAAUAAAUACUGUCCAAGGUGGUGAUACGUUUGUAUUUGUCAAAGAUACGGGCAGCAUGCAGAUUAUAGACUGGUUAUUUGACUGAUUUUAUUUUUAUAUGAUAUUAUAUGAAGAUCCAUAAACCUAUAUAUCAUUGGAUCUUUACAGAUAGCCGGUGGAUCUAGAGAAAUAUUCAUCGAGUGACAACAGGGUGGCAGAAAUAUAUGCUGAUUUAAUCACAAGAAAUAUCAAAAUUUGCCUGGAAUUAUUAUUUCUGGCACAUUAGUAAGUAACUGAAUAGAAACACAUCGACCUUUGCUGUAUAUACUGUAUAUAGUGUCAUAUUUACCUGUCUCAUGUACAUAAAGAAACCUGCACGUAAAUAUUUAUUUCAGCAUCCUUUGCACUAUUGUCUACUGUCUACAAAUGUUAUUAUUUUUGUUUGUUAUAUAUGAAUAACUGUACAUAGUAGUUUAUGUCUAUUUUGUUCUGUUUAUUUAUGCUUAGUCUGUGUUUGUACAUUGAGAACAACAUAAAACCGAAUCACAUUCCUUGUAUGUGUGCACCUACCUGGUCAAUAAAAGUGAUUCUGAUAGCUAAAGGUGGCAUUAGAAAUAAA